rnacentral:misc_RNA from 1 species
AAAACAACCUGCAUUCUACAGAGGCAAAAGUAAAAAAGUAUAUUGGAGGCACCCUCAGUCUCAUACUACAAAAGUUUGGACAGUUUAUCGGUAAUAAUCUUCUGAAUGGAUAAAGAAGUAAUGUUUAAUCUACUUUUCUAAAACUCAAUGCAAAACAAUCUGCCUUCAUAUCAUCAUCAGUAAAAAAAAAACUACACCUCAAAGAAGAUGCACUGACUUUUAACCUCCAUGGGUAUGUUUGUUUUCUGAGCUUUACAUAAAACACAUUAAAUCAAAA